UACGUAGGGUGCAAGCGUUGUCCGGAAUUAUUGGGCGUAAAGAGCUUGUAGGCGGUUUGUCGCGUCUGCUGUGAAAUUUCGGGGCUCAACCCCGAACUUGCAGUGGGUACGGGCAGACUAGAGUGUGGUGGGGGAGACUGGAAUUCCUGGUGUAGCGGUGAAAUGCGCAGAUAUCAGGAGGAACACCGAUGGCGAAGGCAGGUCUCUGGGCCAUAACUGACGCUCAGGUGCGAAAGCGUGGGGAGCAAACAGG
rnacentral:rRNA from 1 species